rnacentral:lncRNA from 1 species
CUUGUCCAACCGUCCGAACAGGGAAAUUGCUCUGUCGUACAGGUUAAUACAGUGUAUAGGCUAUUUGAUCAGACAGGGGGUCCCAAGAUGAUGGAGUCAAUGAGGGACUUCUUUAGAGUGUGAGGACCUCUCCUAACCAUUCAAUAAAUGUACCAACAUAAACAAUAGUCUAUCGGAUUAAGGUGAGGGAGCUAGAAGGCCCAAAUAUCCUGGGACACAUAGUCGUAACAGGGCUCCUGGAGCCAAUCCUGAGUCGGUUCACAGCCUUCUUCAACGCCACAACCCUUCUCCUGUCGAUCCAAGUCAUCUUUGAGACCUACGCAUUGCUUAUAUCCAGAUGGUUGUUUACCAAAGUCAUUACAACAGAGCACUUGACUUCUGCCUUUGAAAAUGUAAUAGCAGGGCCUUAGAAUAACACUAUUCCGACUCUUCUUAAUUUGAAAUAAAUAACCUUCAAAAUAAAUAUAUUUUUCUGAAAAAAAUGAUAGCAAAACUGAGACUGAAAAUGGAAAA